GACGAACGCUGGCGGCGUGCUUAACACAUGCAAGUCGAGCGGUAAGGCCCUUUCGGGGGUACACGAGCGGCGAACGGGUGAGUAACACGUGGGUGACCUGCCCUCAGCUCUGGGAUAAGCCCUGGGAAACCGGGUCUAAUACUGGAUAUGACUCCAUGACGCAUGUUGUGGGGUGGAAAGCCUUGUGCGGCUGAGGAUGGGCCCGCGGCCUAUCAGCUUGUUGGUGGGGUGAUGGCCUACCAAGGCGACGACGGGUAGCCGGCCUGAGAGGGCGACCGGCCACACUGGGACUGAGACACGGCCCAGACUCCUACGGGAGGCAGCAGUGGGGAAUCUUGCGCAAUGGGCGAAAGCCUGACGCAGCGACGCCGCGUGAGGGAUGACGGCCUGG
rnacentral:rRNA from 1 species